rnacentral:rRNA from 14 species
GCCUUUCGCCAUGCUAGACUCAAUGCACCCAAUUUUGCCUAGUUUUGGAAGCUGAACAGUCCCAGGCGUUAGCAUUUCAAUGUGGGGACCAUCUGAGACUUCAGCCUGCCAUGGGCA